UUCGUGUUUCAAGAAGAAAAGUCACCAGUUAUAUAUCAAUUGCGGAUCAAAUUAGAAAGUGAAGAAAAAGGGGUGUAAUGAAUAUGUGAAAAAGAGAAGAUAAAUCGUUAUGAGGUAAGGGUUUUGAUUGGUUUUCUGCAACAAGUAUGGGAUUUUAUAACUUGGAAAAGUGGAAUUCACUUUGGAGGGGAGUCUUAGGCAACACCAGUGUUCGAAAUUUUUGAGUGGUUCCUGUUUAAGUCGUGCAGUGCAAGAGGAAGAUGAAGGUUGAGUUAGAGCAAUAAUAUUUUGGACUCAGUUUAAUCAUAGGGAGAACUACAAGGUUAAAGAAUCGCAGAAGAGAAAUAGAGGGCAUGUUGGCAUAGUCUAGUAUAAGUCUUAUCAAUCAGGAGUGAUUUUGGGCAUGGUCGCUUUGUGGAGAAGAAAACAGUGUUGAGGAAAUGGAAUGACAAAGCUAUUAUGCAAGGGAAGAGUUUUCAAGGUUUUGUAAGGAUAUAUAGAAGUCCUGAAACAGGUUCUUCGAGGGUGAUCUUUUGCUGGUUACAGUUGUCAUGAAGGAAGUGUUCUUUUAAGUAAAUUGGUGAGUAAGGAAGUAUAAAGAUCAGAGUAGCGCAGCGGAUGAUGGUGAGCAUGUGAUUGUCAGUAACAGGUAUGCAUGAAGAACUUUCAAAAUUGUGGAUUUGUGGUUGUGAGGGACGAGUUCUUUGAAACAGUAUUGGUGUUAAUAUAUGAGCAUGAGUCGGGGGUGUUUGGUAAUCUUCAAGAGUCAAAAGUGAGUUUAGGUGUGAAAGAAUCAUGUGUCAGGCAGGGAAGAUAAGUGAGCUUUUGGUUGCAAGCUACAGGGUCAACUUUAAAGUGAGAAAGUGUUAAUGGCUUUGGAAUGAGAAGAGUGGGUCAAUGGGCGAAGGAGACUAUUUGAGUUGUGGUCUUGAGUUAUAGUGGCAAUCUAGAGGUAAGGUUAUGUUAGCAGACGAUCAUGAAUAAGUAUACGUUGCUGAGAAUAAAUGAUUUGAUGGAUCCACUACAAGGAGCUACAGUAUUCUCUAAGAUUGAUCUGAAGUUUGGCUAUCAUCAAAUCUUAGUGAAAGCGGAUGAUGUGCAGAAAACGGCGUUCAAGUGCAACAAGUAAGGAUAAUAUGGGAGAACCUACCUAGGAUUGUUCCGGUAAGCUUAAUUUUCGAGGACGAAAAUUUUUGUUGUUGGGGAGAAUGUAAGACCCGUGAAUUAGGAAGGUGGGACAAGGUGGUCACCCACCAUUUCCCUAAAACACGGGUGCUUGUUUGGAGGAGGGAUGCAUUAUUGAUACAAGGAAAGAAGAAAAGGGGGCGGCUGGGGGAAGAGGGUGUGUUUUUCAGUUUUUUUAUUUUGGGGGUGUCUUUUGAGAGAAGGGAAUCAGAAAGCGUAGGAAGUUUAUGGGGGACAGUGUGUUUCGUUUGUUUUUGGCUUGAAGAGUGAGAGAGAGAGAGCCGUGAGAGAGAGAGAGCCGUGAGAGAGAGAGAGAGCCGUGAGGGAGAGGGAGCAGCAGGAGGAAGGGAGCCUUCCUUCCUUCCGUUUCCAGCCGUUCGAAGAUCACCUGGGAGCUUUACCAACUUCAGGAAGACUGAGAUGGAUCUGGGUUGAGUUGUUGCAAUGUUUGCUGGGAGAAGAAGAAGUGAAGAACUCUUAAAGAUUGGAAGAAGAUCAAACUCUCUAGAAAUGAUUCAAGGAGGUCUUCAAGAGACGUUGUUGAAGAGGUUUCCCUUGAAGCAAGAGCUGGAGGUUGUUGAUGUUGCAGAAUAGUCUUCUUAGAGUUUCCUGAUUGAACACUUGUAGUGUUUAAUCCUUUCAAAUGUUCAAGUUUAAAUUUUCAGUGUCUGUUAUUGGUGAAUGACUGUAAUUUCAUAUUUAAUUACACUUCAUACUCCGACUGUUCCCUAUAUUUGGAUGUUAACGUCUUUAUUAUAUAAUAUUGGUUAUUAUAUAAUCGGGAUGUGACAUUAAUGGUAUCAGAGCAGUUCGUCCUUAGGAUGACCUUUGUGUUGUA